ensembl:rRNA 5S_rRNA 5S ribosomal RNA
ACUGAGCCCUAUUUCAUCAUGCCCAAUUUCAUCUAAUCUUGCAAACUAAUUAGGGUCGAGCUUGGUUAGUACAUAGAUGGGUGAUUACCGUUGAAUACCAGAGCCUAUUUGAGUG